CCGGAAUAAACUAAAUUACACUAAAAAUGAUUCUCAAAAUAAGAUACAGGAUCCGCUGAUCCUUGUUUCUGUACAGGCCUGUUCCACAGAUGGAUGAAAGGAGAUGAAGAUACCUCCAGGCACCCACACCCACACCACCACACCACCACACCGCAAGCACACAUUCGCAAUCGAACUCGAACUCGAACUCGUCAACGCUUUUGCACAACUAUACUAUUGCAGGAUGGAACCGGCCGAAAGCACAGUGGAUGGCAUCCUGGACAAGAGCUUCAUUGGGCAGAUAAACCAAGAAGCAAACUAUAUGCAGCCUCUACCUUGAUUGAAGGCUCUGCUGUCGAUGGCAUCGGCACUCGACACUGUGGGCUCUGGUCUCGGCUCUGAAUAUCGUGGAUCACAUUAAGAAACAGAACAACAAAUCACGGAUUAUUGCCAGCACAGAACACCAAUCGACACAUUUUAUCGACUUUGUUUAUAGCAAAUGGGGGAUCAUUAAAAAUUUGAUUUAAUUAAC
rnacentral:misc_RNA from 1 species